AGUAUUAUAAAAGCCUUGGUCUCAGCGAUGAAGAGGUUGCUAUAAGAAUGAAGGAUUGUUCAAGGCAUAGGGGUCACUACAGUCCACCCAGCACCCCUGAUCACUUCUGGUCCGUAGACUUCCCUGAUACUCCAACAUGCGUAGAAAGAGGUUAUUUCAAGGUGGCUCCGGAAGAACAACAACCAAAGAGAACCAGAAGGAACAGGUAUCUUAACAAACCUAAUUUAGAAAAGAACAAGUCAGCGGAAGGAGGAUCCACUUGAUUCCAGGUUAUAUUCAGAUUUACAGCAUCGUGUAGUACAGUAGUAGUAGUUAAUCCAAAGUUUUAAAUCCGGUUUUGUCCCUGUGAACGAGGAUGGCCCGAUUCACCUCACACUCGCAGCAAUCGCCCUCACCCCCUUCACUCCAUUGACCCGAUUCAGUACACCCUCCAUCCUCAGCCCAACCCUCCUCCACUUGCCUCUGUGUCCCAGUGGAUUGGUCUUUGCACUUUAAGAAACAGAGGCUCGUUGGUUCAAAUCCCAGUCAUGGCAUAAUUUCCUUUGAGCAGCAAGAUAAUGAUCCACAUUGUCCUUCACUCACCAAGGUGAGGUGAAUGGGAACCGACCAUGAUUAUCUCUUUGACUGCACAGUGCUGAAAACAGCAGCUCGAGCUGAUCCCAGGGUAGUCAUAAAAGUGCACCUCAGAAUAGAUUAUAUCUAGAUAGGUGGUACGAUAUAUACGUCUGUUGCUAUUAUAAUUUACAUCAAUAAUUAGAUGUAUCUACCUGAUUUUGUAGUUGAUCUGAUUAACUUGCAGCCCGAAUAUUUUUGUUUUUUAAACAAGUUCACACCUAGUUACCAAUAAUGCAUAUAGCAUUUUCAUUUAUUUGAAAGCAGGAUAAGCGAGCACUGUAGAUUAAAUGCCUUGCUCACGGGCAUAGGUGCUGUGGCCGGGGAUCGAACCCUGGACUUUUUCAUGUAUAGCCAAAGCGAAUUGUUGACGCCAUUGAUCAUUCUCAUUUUUGAAUCACAUGCCUUGGAAGAAUCAUGGCACUCAGGACAGCUAAAUACACUUCCCAAAUUGGGUUUAAUAUUAUGCGCAUUUGGUUAUUUUUCUUUAUUUCAAAUUACCUUACCUCUUUUACUGUUUGUAAUUUAGGUAUUAGGUUUCUUUUACCUUGUACCAGGCCUGCCUUGUACGUGGCAUAUGAAAGCUAGAUUGUAGUUGUUUUUUAUGUUCUCCUUUGAGUAGUCCCAUAUUCUGAGACAGUGUUGGCUUAGUGCAGUCAAUUACUUUUCCCCCUGCUCUUCUCCCCGGAUCUCGGGGCGCAGCUCUCGCUUGUAGUGUCUUUGACUCGCACCCUUGCUUUUGACUGGAAGUGUUUGAUUCUCCAUCUGGAAAAGGCGCUAUAGGAAUAUGAAUUAUUAUUAUGAAUAUUAUUCAUCUCCCUGCAACUCCACCCAUUUCCACUACCUUCUUUCACCUGCCUUCUCUCCCCUCCCCUUCCCCUCUCCCGUGUCCCCUCCCCCUGUACCUUCUUCUCUUCAUUCUGCCUCAUGAGUGUAUCAGCAUAGACAAUAAAAAUCAAUUUUAUAAGACCUCUAAAAUGGAAUAUCAUGAAUGAAAGCAUUUUCAUUAUAACCAUGAACCAUGGUCAAAACAUUGGCUUUUAUUCACAUAUACUAAUCCAGCGAAGCAACCUACUAAGUUUAUUGUUUAUUUUAAUGAAAAUCAAUGCUUCGUCCAUGAUUCAGUGGUAUAAUGAAAAUAAAAUCUAAUGCUUCUAUUCAUGAAAUUCCAAGACAGAUGCGUUAUAAAAUUGAUUUUUUUUUUUGGGGGGGGGGGUCAAUUUUAUUCCAUUAUUCUCUCAUCACAAACUGUAUAUAAAUUGAAAUUUUUAAUUCAAGUGAAUUAAGUCAGUUUCUUUUGAAAUUUUUUCACAUAUUCUUUGCACUAUUGACCAAAAGGAGUUUAUUUUAUCAGUCAUUCUUUUACCAUGGGUAUCAUGACUUUUAUUUUCUAAAGAAAUAAUACUAAAGUGGUCUGGGAAUGAGUAGAGCAAGAUCAAUAAAGAUAUGAUCAGAAUCGCCAUCAAAUUGUGUUUGAAUAGUUGACAUCUGCAGGUUGAAGCCGAUUCCCACCAUUUUGUUCUAGUCUGUAAGCUCAGACCCAUAUUUCAUGCUUUGACAAAUAGUAGGAUAUUUUUGAUAUUGUCAAAAUUAUGCAAUAUUGAAUAUUCAAUAAUUGUUUUAUGAUUAAAAAUGUUGAUAUAUUACAGUAACAUGAUAUGCAAAAAAAUAUUGUUGAUUAUAAAAAAUAAUCACUAUUUAUUGACCACAAAUGCUGAACACACUUUUGUAUUGUUUUAAGGACGUUCCACAGUUAAAGUGAAAUCCAUGUCAUUUUCACCAAACUUUGCACAUAGAUACUUUAGAACCUUAAUAUUCGAAAUAUGCAAAAAUUAACAUAGGUCCAUGUGCUUGAUUUUUUGCUAUAGAGCUUAAAAGUUCACCCAAAUUGAUGUUCUUAAGAAUUGCGCAUUCAAAAGAAUUUGGCAUUUUUAGACCGCCCAAGAUUACUACAAUGAGUUUAAACCUCCAUUACUCAUUCAAAAUACAUGAAAAAGUCAUCAAAUUUCGCAAGAGAGUUAAUAAUUGUAUCGUUAGAAUGGAGAAUCUAUUAAUAGUGCUAUUUGUUUGCAAUUUUAAGUUUAACAGCACUGUCAGUUCUUUAAAAUGGCGUAAAAGAUAACAAAAUCCCAAUCUGAAAAAUGUAAAAUUUCAGUAACAAACUACAAACGUACAAUAAAUGCUGCACUUUAUUCAAAAUCCAUGUCAUUUUCACCAAAAUUUGCAGAGUUGUAGAGGAAGGUAUACCUAAGAGGUACAAACAUUAAAAAAUAGGGGUUCAUGUGCUUGUUUUUAAACUAUCAGCAUUUUUAUUAGAGCAAAUGUGCUUGUUAAAACACCAAAAAUGGGCCAAAUGCUUAGUAUCUAUGUGAAGAAAAAAUCAAAACCACUCUACCAUUUAUUCAAACUCGGGCUAAUAUUCGUGAUUCUUGGCAGCACUGCAGAGUAAAGUAUUUUGAAAUUGUAGAGAAUAUUUUUUUUAAUGGUCCAUGGAAUAAUUCAAUUUUUUAGCUUCAUGAAAUAACGCAUCGGAUCUGCAGUUAAAGUGCAGAAGAUGAGAAAAAUCAGCUCAUACCCGCAGCUAAUUAAUACCUGUUCAUCCAUUGUGACGUCAGCGCGCAGAGUGUAAACUAUGCGCAGAUCAUAAUGCGCACAAAUAUAACUGUGGAACGUCCUUAAACCAAAUCAGAACUUUUUAUAUUGGUACCCAAAUGCUUGCUUUUCAUGGACAGGCAUUGAUGAAAGCCAGCCUUUUCUUUGUCCCUUCCCUGCUCUCACAGAAUUGCAGUUAUUAAUGAAUGCACAUGAUAACUUUUCAGACUUGGCAAUAUUUUGCUGGCGAUGAUUGCAAACAUUGAAAUCAAAUAUGAACCAGCACUAGUACCAUGUCUAGGUACCUUAAUAUGUGUUGAAUAAGAGAAGCAGCCAAAGUACAUAUACCCAUGUAGUCUCACUACUUCAGACUCUAUUAUGCACAUAGUGAAAAUGGGAGUUCUGUACAGGCACGGAGACAGGGGGGGGGGCACAGGGGGCAUGUGCCCCCCUUUUGAGAAUCUCUUUAGGUGUGCCCCCUCUUUUGAAAUUAGAGACUUUUUUUUUUUUGGCUUGUCAAUUUUUUUCGGUAUGAAAUAUCCUUCAAUUGUCUUCAUUUGUUGUUGAAAACCUUUUUUGGGGGGUUUGUCAAAAUUUUCCUCCAAGAAAUUUGCCCCCCCCCCCCCUUUUGGAAAAUCCUGGAUCCGCCCCUGGUUCUAUAUGCAUGCAAACUACUGUACCUUUGAUAUUCCUCCUACAUAUAACAAUGAUCAAUCUUUAAAUCACCUAAUAUGAACAGUCUUUCAGCAUAUUUUUUUCUGAGGGUAGAUGUAUCAUCAGAUAAAAAGUUUAUACAUUGCAUGUAGACAAAAUGAUUGUUCUCAAGAAGACUUGCAUGCUGUGACAAAAUAUUAUAAAGCAACAUUUUAUUCAAAUUUUAGAAAUACAUGUACUAUGCAUAUUUUUUUACUUUUAUAUAUAUGUUCCUCAAAUUACAUAUCUUUGAAUUCACUCUAAGAGUUGAUUGCAAAGAUAAUAAAUUAAUGUAUGUUUGAUUUAAAUGAAUGAAUUCAUAGUGUCUUGUGAAUAUUUGAGGUGUUAUUUUGGGUAUCGUUAUAUAUAUGUGGAAUUAUCGGACCAGUAUGAUCCUUGGAUGGAUUAAAAACUUAUGUUUUUUUAAUAUGAAACAGUGAAUGAAAUAUUGUUCACCUGAAAUUUGCCUCAUUUCAUCUCAUGAUGGAGCGGUAGAUAGACAGAUAGAAAGAUACAUACAUACACACACCCUCACACACACAAAUGUAGACGUGUUGUCCAUCAGUUGACAAGUCUUCUGACAUUAGGGUUCACAUUCCACCUCAGCAUUUGCAUCCUCUGACAAGGCAUUUAUCUACGUUUGCCACUUCCUACCCAGGUGUAGUAAAUGGCUGUAGUUAUAAUGUGCAAUGCUAAGGCUAAGGAACAUUUGUAUUAUAUAUUUUGCAUAUCAUUAUCAUUAUUAUAGGUACUGUAGGUAUAUAUAUAUAUAAUGCUUGAUAAUAUUCAACUGAUAUAUUUAACAGUGGAGUAGACUCUGGUCUAUUUAUUUCUUAUGCAUGUGAAUAGUAUACACGGACCACUGUUCGUGACUAACAUUACUUACAGUAGGUGUUGGUUAUUAAAAGCUUGGCUGUGGGAUUGCAUGUCUAAAAUAAAUAAAAAUUAAACAAUUGAACUCUAUAAACCCAGCCUUACUACUGAAAUACUAUUCUGUCAAGAGCCAAGACUCUUGAAAAUGUUAAGAGUAAGUUUCAAAGUACUUUGUUUAUUACAAGAUAACCUUCAAAAUGGAUCAUAUUCGAGGGUUGGGGUGGGGUCUGUUUUAGCAAAUAAAUGUUUGUCAAUAAUUUGUUAUUUUUCUGUCAGUGAUUUUCACCGACAAAUGUCAUUAGCUACAAUAAAUCCUUGAAUCCGAAUGGCUGUAAGUGAAAAUCACAUAUGACAUUGUUCAUGGAAUGUUUCCCCAAAUGUAAAGAAAUGAGGUCAUGAAAAUAACAAUUUCUUUGACCUCUGUUAAGAUCUGGAUGUCUCACAUUGAUGAUGCUGUUUUAAGUUAUUAACGAGAUUAUAUGAAAUAUGAGAGAUAUUUAAAAUAUAGCACUUAGUUAUAAUGUGAAAAGAAACGAAAAUAAAUUUAUAGAUGUGCAGGUAGUA